rnacentral:rRNA from 1 species
UAGGGAAUCUUCGGCAAUGGACGAAAGUCUGACCGAGCAACGCCGCGUGAGUGAAGAAGGUUUUCGGAUCGUAAAACUCUGUUGUUAGAGAAGAACAAGGACGUUAGUAACUGAACGUCCCCUGACGGUAUCUAACCAGAAAGCCACGGCUAACUACGUGCCAGCAGCCGCGGUAAUACGUAGGUGGCAAGCGUUGUCCGGAUUUAUUGGGCGUAAAGCGAGCGCAGGCGGUUUCUUAAGUCUGAUGUGAAAGCCCCCGGCUCAACCGGGGAGGGUCAUUGGAAACUGGGAGACUUGAGUGCAGGAGAGGAGAGUGGAAUUCCAUGUGUGGCGAUGAAAUGCGUAGAUAUAUGGAGGAACACCAGUGGCGAAGGCGGCUCUCUGGUCUGUAACUGACGCUGAGGCUCGAAAGCGUGGGGAGCAAACAGG